GACGUAGGGCGCGAGCGUUGUCCGGAUUUAUUGGGCGUAAAGAGCUCGUAGGCGGCUUGUCGCGUCGAAUGUGAAAACCUGCAGCUCAACUGCAGGCUUGCAUUCGAUACGGGCAGGCUCGAGUUCGGUAGGGGAGACUGGAAUUCCUGGUGUAGCGGUGAAAUGCGCAGAUAUCAGGAGGAACACCGGUGGCGAAGGCGGGUCUCUGGACCAUAACUGACGCUGGAUGCACGAAAGCUAGGGGAGCAAACAGG
rnacentral:rRNA from 1 species